GUCCACCAUGGCCUGGGCUCCUGUCCUCCUUGUGUUCCUGUCUCACUGCUCAGGUUCCCUCUCCCAGCCUGUGCUGACUCAGCCACCCUCCCUCUCGGCAUCUCCUGGAUCAUCAGCUAGACUCACCUGCACCCUAAGAAGUGGCAUCAAUGUUGGUAGCUACAGGAUAUUCUGGUACCAACAGAAGCCAGAGAGCCCUCCCCGGUAUCUCCUGAGUUACUACACAGACUCAAAUAAGCACCAGGGCUCUGGGGUCCCCAGCCGCUUCUCUGGAUCUAAAGACGCCUCGGCCAAUGCAGGGAUCCUGCACAUCUCUGGGCUGCAGGCCGAGGACGAGGCUGACUAUUACUGUGCCAUAUGGUACAGCAAUGCUUCUCACAGUGACACAAACAGAUGGGGAAGUGGGACAAAAACCUUCGUCUGCUCAGAGCCCCACCUUACGACAAUUUUCAAAAAUUGA